UACAGAGGGUGCGAGCGUUAAUCGGAAUUACUGGGCGUAAAGCGCGCGUAGGCGGCUUUGCAAGUCGGGUGUGAAAUCCCCAGGCUUAACCUGGGAACUGCAUUCGAGACUGCAUUGCUAGAGUAUGGGAGAGGGAAGUGGAAUUCCCGGUGUAGUGGUGAAAUGCGUAGAUAUUCGGCGGAACACCAGUGGCGAAGGCGACUCACUGGCCCGAUACUGACGCUGAGGCGCGAAAGCGUGGGGAGCAAACAGG
rnacentral:rRNA from 1 species